CAGCAGCCGCGGGAAUACGAAGGGUGCAAGCGUUAAUCGGAAUUACUGGGCGUAAAGCGUGCGUAGGCGGUUUGUCAAGUCUGUUGUGAAAUCCCCGGGCUCAACCUGGGAAUGGCAAUGGAUACUGGCGAGCUAGAGUGUGUCAGAGGAUGGUGGAAUUCCCGGUGUAGCGGUGAAAUGCGUAGAGAUCGGGAGGAACAUCAGUGACGAAGGCGGCCAUCUGGGACAACACUGACGCUGAGGCACGAAAGCGUGGGGAGCAAACAGGAUUAGAUACCCCAGUAGUCCCUGUCUCUUAUAC
rnacentral:rRNA from 1 species